rfam:Lupinus angustifolius cultivar Tanjil contig_22495, whole genome shotgun sequence.
AGGUGCGAUCAUACAAGGACUAAUGCACCGGAUCCCAUCAGAACUCCGCAGUUAAGUGUGCUUGGGCGAGAGUAGUACUAGGAUGGGUGACCUUCUGGGAUGUCCUCGUGUUGCACCUC